GGCGACGAGUGGCGGACGGGUGAGUAAUGCUUGGGAAUUUGCCUAGUAGUGGGGGACAACACGGGGAAACCUGUGCUAAUACCGGAUAAGUCCUUACGGAGAAAGUUUUAAUGCCAAAAGAUGAGCCCGCAUUUGAUUAGCUAGUUGGCGAGGUAAAAGCUCACCAAGGCGAUAAUCAAUAGCUGAUUUGAGAGGAUGAUCAGCCACACUGGGACUGAGAUACGGCCCAGACUCC
rnacentral:rRNA from 1 species